rnacentral:misc_RNA from 1 species
AACGUCACCACCUUCGAUGUCAAGGGCGUCCCCUGGAGCAUCAGCCAGCUCCUCGACGACGAGGCUUCGGGCACGUACUUCGGCCCCCUCUUCUCCGGCGGUCUCUUCACCCACUCCUUCCUCAACACCACCGACUAUCACCGCCAGCACGCGCCCGUCUCGGGCCGCGUUAUUGAGGCCAAGGUCAUCCCUGGCCUGUGCUACCUCGAGGUCGUCCUCAAGAUGGCGG